UACGGAGGAUCCAAGCGUUAUCCGGAUUUAUUGGGUUUAAAGGGCUCGUAGGCGGCCAACUAAGUCAGACGUGAAAUCCCUCGGCUUAACCGGGGAACUGCAUCUGAUACUGGAUGGCUUGAGAUUGGGAGAGGGAUGCGGAAUUCCAGGUGUAGCGGUGAAAUGCGUAGAUAUCUGGAGGAACACCGGUGGCGAAGGCGGCAUCCUGGACCAACACUGACGCUGAGGAGCGAAAGCCAGGGGAGCAAACGGG
rnacentral:rRNA from 1 species